CCAAAACCCUUCUUACUUCUCGACUCCUCCUACACUCUCAUUCGAUUGAACCAAAGGAAAAAAAAUCAGACAUUCAUCUUCUUCCUCAAAUCCCUCUUUUCCCAAACCCCAAUUCUCUCAUGGUUGAGCAAGAAAUAGAAAUUAGAAAUCAAAAUGUGCUAAUCCUCCCAAAUCUCUUCUCAGAUUCUUUAUGGAAGUCGAAAGAAAAACCAACAAAUUUCGAUUUUCCCUUGCCUCUUUUGAAUACGACUAUGGCGACCAAUCUUUGAAGGCUUCCGAACCUCAGCAACUACAGCCUUUGAUUCUUCGUUCUUUUCCGUGAGUGAACACAUCAAUAACAUUACUUUGGGGAUCUUCGUUUCCAAUAUUUUCUUGUGAAAUCUAGCAAUCAAAAGCACAUUUUGGUAUUUAUCAAUCAUCGCUUCACCUCGAUAGUUUACCGAUCGGAAUCGAUCGGGAACAAUGGGUUAGCGGUGAUGAUUAGAGUUCUAUGGAUGCUAUAUUGAGCUGAGCACAUGAGAAUUUGGUAGUUUUGUAUUAGUCUUUGGUAAAUUUAUAUUGGACUAGGUUGUAUUGGUUAUGCGGACUUUUAUAGUGACUUUUAUGAUUACUUUGUGUUUGUGUUUUAGUUAGAUGUUUGAGAUUGAGAAUUAGCUGAUAUAACUAUGUUAUAAAACUGGUGACUCCUUUGCACAA